GCAUAUAGCUCAGUGGGAGAGUGCUUGCCUAGCAUGCACAAAGCCCUGGGUUCAAUCACUAGCACUGCA
rnacentral:tRNA from 1 species